AUCGUCCUGUCAAAACUGUGAACUUACGAUGACACUGUCUACUUCACUGUGUGGUUUGACAUCAAAGGAAGAAAGAUACGUAAAUGUUUUCUAUGUUAAGGCGUCUCUCAUGGUAAUUAAACUAAGAUUAUAAAUCUCGAACAAAGUCAAAGAAUGUAAGUAUUCAAAGCAAUUAUGUUUAAAUUUACCAAUAUUCAAAGUGAACAGAUAAUGUUAAAUCUUAACAACUCUUACCAUUUUCCCCAUUACUAACGCCUCCCAACACCUCUUAAACAGACGAUAUUUGAAAACGUUGAGUUAAAAUGAGAAUUUACUCAUGAUGAAUAAGUUAACUUCUUACAUCUCAAGGUUUUCAUUAAAUUUAACAGCUAUUUAGAAAUAAUAUGCUUAGUUUGUGUUUAACAAUAAAGAUGCAACUAAAGCUUACCCUGCUGCAAACUUCCUAAAACAUUGAAAGGGUUAACUAGUUUUGUUAUGCAUACACCAAAUGGUGAUAGCUUUUGAAAUCGUUACUCAGUUUUAUUAUUUAUUUCAAAUACAGGAAUGCCAUUACAUCCUCCACGCCUGGACAUGCUAACUGAAUUAACAGACCACGAAAUAAUAAAAAGAUACAGACUGAAUAAAGCAGGCAUUAAUUAUAUAGAGGGGAUGAUUGGGGCAACUUUAAGUCCCCCUACGGCCAGACAUAAUAGCCUGUCUGCUCUUGAAUUUUUCUUUUGAUAAUGUUACGUUAUCUUGCCUCUGGAGAAUUCCAAAUAAAUGAUGGAGACCUUCAUCAGGUAAGUCAGUCAACGGUUUCAAAAGUAAUGAGUGAGGUUCUUCAAGAACUCAUAUCAUCAGACAUGGUCCGGGAGCAUAUACGUAUCCCGACAUCUGUGCAUGACCUGGAUGCACAAGUGGCUCAAUUUGCUGGUGUUGCAAAUUUCCCAAAAGUUAUGGGUGUGAUUGACUGCACUCAUGUGAGAAUCCUGGCUCCCUCUUUGGAAGAGGAAAUUUAUGUGAAUAGAAAAGGUUUUCACAGUAUAAAUGCCCAGCUUGUAUUUGAUGCUUUUGACGCAAUCAUAGAUGUUGUUGCGAGGUAGCCAGGAUCCUCACAUGAUAGCCGGAUUUUACAAAAUAGUGGGGUUAGACAGCUGUUUGAAGAGGGAAUCAUCCCUGUCGGGUAUCACCUACUUGGAGAUAGUGGUUAUCCCUCUCGAAGAUGGCUGCUUACCCCAUACGCAAACCCUCAAGCAGGACAACAAACCCGGUACUUCAGGUAAUUAUAUAUUUAUAUUGCCAUGUAUAGGAUAUCACAUUAAUGUUGCCCAUAAAGAGAAUGACACACACAUUUUAAGUGUAAAACUUUUAAUAACAUAAUGAAAAUAAAUCUUGAGCCUAUAACUCUGAAAUUUCAUAACAGUAAAUAACAAGAGUGCCAAACUGUCACAAGAUACGCCCAUUACAAGGUUUUGGACAACUGGAUAGCUUUACCAUGACCCAUAUUUGAACUUGACCUACAUAUCAGCUAGACACCACUUCUGACAAAAUUUGGUGAAGAUCUGAUGAAAACUACUUCAACUAGAUAGUGGACACCAUGCUACAUGCUUGAAAUGCACUAAGUGACCUCGUGAACUAGUUUUUGACCCGGCAUAAACCAUAUUGGAACUUGACCUAGAUAUCAUAUAGAUUCAACUUCUGACCAAAUUUGUUGGAGAUGGGAUUUAUACUACUUCAAUUAGAUAGUGGACACCAUGCUAAAUCCUUGAAAUGCACUAACUGACCAUGUGACCUAGUUUUUGACCCAGCGUGACCCAUAUUCCAACUUGACCUAGAUAUCGUCUAGUGAAACUUCUGACCAAGUUCGGUGAAGAGAGCGGAUACUGCUUUGGUCGCCGCCGCAAAGGGUGAUUUUAUAAUACGUCCCGUUUUGAAAAACGGGCGUAUAAUAAUUAAGUUAUUCUAUUCAAUAACAAACUAAUUAAUUGUGUUACAAGGAAGAAUGUCAAGCUCAGUCAUUGCAUCUCUAACAAAUUCGUCACAUUGUAGCAAAAGAAUAACUUGCUUAAAGAAAGUACAUUCAAAUACAGUGAAAAUGCUUAAUGUUCAACUUUAAAAUACAGAACUUCUUAAUUUUAGAGCACACAAAAUUACUAGAGCAAAAGUAGAAAGGGGCAUAGGGCAACUGAAAAGGAGAUUUGGUAUUUUGCAUGGAGAAAUCCGUAUGAAACCAGAAAAGCUUGCAGAUGUUGAAAUGGAGGAAAAUGAUGAUAACCAGCCUGAACCCAACCAGCCAAACCCCAUGGAAAAUGGCCCACAAAUGGGACUUAGAUACAGGGACUUCUUUGUUAAUACUUUUUUUUGAAAAAAAGGAUGGCAAUACCUUUCACUCCCUCCUGGUGAAUCUCCCAGACUCUCUUUUCCCGGUUGCCGAGGACUGCACUAUUUUCCCGGUUGCUGAGGACUGCACACACUGUAUGGAAGGAAAGAAAAUUACAUCAUUAUUAUUUGAUCAAAGCUUCAUUUAGAAACUUUUUUCUCUAAUGGUUAUUAAUCACCUAUGUCACUUAUGUCAAGGCAUUGUUCUCCUUUUCUGCCUUUAUUUAUACUUUGUUAGGAAAUGAGGUGUUUUUUAUUGUAAUGGGAAAAAAAACUUAUUUUUUUUUUGAGGAAUACUUGUUUUGUUCUAAAGUUAUCAUCUGUGGUCUGUUUCCUUUUAAUUUGCAUCUAAUGUAGAUCUCUAUUGCUAUCAUUAUGAGAAAAGAAUACCCUCAUUCUCAGUAGUAAUGAAUUAAUUUUUUACCAAACAACACAUUUUUAACUGUUCCGAAAUGAACAGUGUGACCGAUGAUAGUUUAAAUUCAGGGUCUUUCCCAGGCCAUUUAAGGCCUUGCUGGGGCGCUUGAAUUUCGAAAUCAGAGUCACCGGGGCGCUUGAAAUUUUCCGACCUGUGUGUUUUAUCAGUAACUGCAAUUACCCAUUCUGGCGAUUAUUCAAAGUUUGCGAACGCCUGUCGUCUCAAUCAUC